UGUAGGGUGAACCUGCGGAGGGAUCAUUACCGAGUUUACAACUCCCAAACCCAAUGUGAACGUUACCAAACUGUUGCCUCGGCGGGAUCUCUGCCCCGGGUGCGUCGCAGCCCCGGACCAAGGCGCCCGCCGGAGGACCAACCAAAACUCUUUUUGUAUACCCCCUCGCGGGUUUUUUUAUAAUCUGAGCCUUCUCGGCGCCUCUCGUAGGCGUUUCGAAAAUGAAUCAAAACUUUCAACAACGGAUCUCUUGGUUCUGGCAUCGAUGAAGAACGCAGCGAAAUGCGAUAAGUAAUGUGAAUUGCAGAAUUCAGUGAAUCAUCGAAUCUUUGAACGCACAUUGCGCCCGCCAGUAUUCUGGCGGGCAUGCCUGUCCGAGCGUCAUUUCAACCCUCGAACCCCUCCGGGGGGUCGGCGUUGGGGAUCGGCCCUGCCUCUUGGCGGUGGCCGUCUCCGAAAUACAGUGGCGGUCUCGCCGCAGCCUCUCCUGCGCAGUAGUUUGCACACUCGCAUCGGGAGCGCGGCGCGUCCACAGCCGUUAAACACCCAACUUCUGAAAUGUUGACCUCGGAUCAGGUAGGAAUACCCGCUGAACUUAAGCAUAUCAAUA
rnacentral:rRNA from 1 species